rnacentral:rRNA from 1 species
AUACGGAGGGUGCAAGCGUUAAUCGGAAUUACUGGGCGUAAAGCGCGCGUAGGCGGUUAUUUAAGUCAGAUGUGAAAUCCCUGGGCUCAACCUAGGAACUGCAUCUGAUACUGGGUAACUAGAGUUUUGGAGAGGUAAGUGGAAUUUCCGGUGUAGCGGUGAAAUGCAUAGAGAUCGGAAGGAACACCAGUGGCGAAGGCGACUUACUGGCCAAAAACUGACGCUGAGGUGCGAAAGCGUGGGUAGCGAACAGGAUUAGAAACCCGAGUAGUCC